rnacentral:rRNA from 1 species
AAUUUUGGACAAUGGGGGAAACCCUGAUCCAGCCAUCCCGCGUGUGCGAUGAAGGCCUNCGGGUUNUNAAGCACUUUUGUCAGGGNAGAAAAGGUUCUGGCUAAUACCCGGAACUGAUGACGGUACCUGCAGAAUAAGCACCGGCUAACUACGUGCCAUCAGCCGCGGUAAUACGUAGGGUGCAAGCGUUACUCGUAAUUACUGGGCGUAAAGCGUGCGCAGGCGGUUCGGAAAUAAGGAUGUGAAAUCCCAGGGCUCAACCUUGGACCUGCAUUCUUAACUACCGAACUAGAGUAUAUCAGAGGGGGGUAGAAUUCCGCGUGUAGCAGUGAAAUGCGUAGAUAUGCGGAGGAAUACCGAUGGCGAAGGCAGCCCCCUGGGAUAAUACUGACGCUCAUGCACGAGAGCGUGAGUAGCAAACAGG